rnacentral:rRNA from 1 species
CCUACGGGAGGCAGCAGUGGGGAAUAUUGCGCAAUGUGCGCAACCCUGAUCCAGCGACGCCGCGUGAAUGAAGAAGUCAUUCGGUUUGUAAAGUUCUUUUAGCAGGGACGAAACAGGUGGCACUACCUUAUGAAUAAGCGACUGAUAACUAGGUGGCAGCAGCGGCGGUAAUACGUAGGGGGCAAGCGUUAGCCGGAUUUACUGGGUGUAAAGGGGGCGUAGGCGGGAGUGCAAGUCAGUGGUGAAAAGUGUGGGCUCAACCCCUAGCCUGCAUUAGAAACUGUACUUCUGGAGUGCAGGAGAGGCAAGUGGAAUUCCUAGUGUAGCGGUGAAAUGCGUAGAUAUUAGGAGGAACACCAGUGGCGAAGGCGGAUUACUGGACUGUAACUGACGUUGAGGCGCGAAAGCGUGGGGAGCAAACAGGAUUAGAUACCCUUGUAGUC